CCUCAGGGACUGGAAGCAGGCGCGGGUGGGGCAGGGAGUGGAGGGACGGCGCGCGUCCGGAGGCCAUUGCGCAUGCGCGCGGCGGCCCGUGCGCCUUUGCGAGAGGCUAGACUUGGGACCGCCGGACCCCCGGCGACGCCGGGCGCGUUAAUCCCAGCGCUGAGCGGGAGGGCGCGCGCCCCUUGCGCUUUGACAGGUGCUUUGACGUGGGAACCUUGAGGUGUUUUCCUUCCCCGCUCCUAAAACUGUAAAGCCGGCAGCCUGGAAAGACCGCUAAAGCUCAUCUCCACCAACCACCUCGUUUUUAAUUUGUGGGGCGACUGAGAAGACGGGAAGUGACGGAGGGGUCCCAGCUGGAGCCUAUGCUGUAUGUCCUUAGGAUUCAAGCAUUGCUGGAGGACUGGUGGAGCAGGACUUCAGGACUCUAUUUAUAUGUAGCUCCUGGAGUAUCUUAGGAAAGAAGCCAUCCUACGAGAGAGCUGAGUCCCCAAGCCUGGUUCAAGGAUGUGAGCCACUGUCAGAAAGGAGAAGAAAUGGUGAAAACAUCAUGGUCUCUGUCAUUUAGAUCAGCCUCCAGCUCAGCCUUCAUGGAUUCAUGCCUCUGUCAUAAGGAAUAAUCCAAUACUGAGGACCCAAUGCCCCACAAAGUGAACCUUGGCCUCCCACAGAAGAACACUUUAAGGAGCUACCAACUCACCUUUGCUCUAGUGCAGUACCCAUAUUAUGGGUGGUAAGAGAAAGGCCUAGAAGCAUUAAAACCCCAUGGACAAUGGGCAAACUCUAGUGCCCAGACUGUGGUCCCUGAAUGACAUUCGGCAUUUAAAGGAACCAGGAUCUUCCAUGGCUGAUUCCAAGUUUGGGGCAGUAUAUGUACAAGAUAAGGUUUACACAUCUUGAGGAGCCCAAAACUAUGAAGUUACCAAAGAUCGGUGUGUUUUAUCAAAAGGACUCAAGAGCCAACAUGAAGGGGCUCCAAAUGGUCAAAGAUGGGAUAAUUCAAAGUGAAAAAAAUGGAUGACACCAAUGUAUCUCACAUGGAGGAAAAUGUCUUUGUGAAAACUCUUUGAAAUGCCUUGCAGACACAGAUGUCAGCAGAUGCCCAGCUCAGACAAGGGGAAGCUGUUUUGCAUGAAACAAAGAGAGGAAUAUGGUUUAUUGCUUGUGAAAAGG